UCAACCUGGUUGAUCCUGCCAGUAGUCAUAUGCUUGUCUUAAAGACUAAGCCAUGCAUGUCUAAGUAUAAAUAGUAUACAGUGAAACUGCGAAUGGCUCAUUAAAUCAGUUAUAAUUUACUUGAUAAUUUUUCUACAAGGAUAACCGUAGUAAUUCUAGAGCUAAUACUUGCUGUUAACCUGACUUCACGGAAG
rnacentral:rRNA from 1 species